ACCACAUGUAUUCAGGGUUUCUUUACAGUUUUUGCCCGUUGCUUGAACACUAUAAACCCAUGCUCAGACUAAAGUAACACAACGUGAAGCUUUUGUUACCAUACCUCAAACACAUGUACCCAUACCUUAAACAAAAGCGCUGCUUUGCACCCCAGUACCAAUUAUGCAACACUCCUACUCCUUUAUGCAACACACCUACCCCUUUAUGCAACACACAUGGUCCUGCAUGCUACACUCUAUUUCAUACAUAAGACACUUCGCUCACAAAAUGAAAUCUCAGGGUGCCAUUCGGAAAACACAUGUAUCCAAAAUACAAAACACAUCGGGUAAUUGCAACCACUCAAAUACACACCUGAAGGCACGUACUUGCAAAACUGAACACCAAUUAGCCAACUACAAAAAGCCCUCAGCGUAGCCAUUUCAAGAACUUUGCAAGCAUGGAUGGAGGGAGAGCAAGAGGAAGAGGAAGAGGUAGAGGAGGAGGAGGAAGAGGAGGAGAAGGCCGAAGAGGCCAUGAACGGACCCAUAUUUCUGAUGAAAUAAGAGCAACUUUGGUGGACCAUGUCAUCAACCAUGGCCUGACUAUGAGGGAAGCUGGGCAGAGAGUCCACCCACAUCUAAGCCGCUUCACAGUGGCAUCUGUAAUACGAACAUUCCGACUAGAAAACAGAAUGACCCGAAGACCUUCUGGGGGAGGACGGCAACGCCUGUUCACACAACAGCAGGAACUUGCCGUUGUGGACCUAGUGAGGGCAGACAAUGCCAUCCGUCACCAGGCAAUGGAACAGGCCUGCGGCGACAUUCAGGUGACAGCAAUCCAUGGAUGGUUUCGACAUGCAAGAGGAUAUUUUCCCCGGUGCCCAGCGGGAGAGGACACUGCUUGCGAUGUUGAUGAGGUCCUGUGGCCAGACCCCAACAGACGGCGGGAUCCAUGAGCCCACUUAUGCACAAUUGUCAUGGUUUUUUGUGUUUACAGUAUAGUGUUUUUUCUAUUGCAGUAUUAUUGUGUUGUGGGUUUUUUUUUUUUUUUUGCUUUAUCUGAAUUCAUGGUACUGCGAUGUACAAUAUUGAGUAGGUCUAUUUGCAUUUUUGGUUGUUUGGAAAUGUGUCUCCUGUAAAUGUGCCUUCUGAAUACACAAUGGAAAUCAAGGACUGCAGUGUUUUAUGUAAAGAAGACUAGUGUGUUCCCCCUGAUCUGUAAG
ensembl:lncRNA